rnacentral:rRNA from 1 species
AGCAGCCGCGGUAAUUCCAGCUCCAAUAGCGUAUAUUAAAGUUGUUGCAGUUAAAAAGCUCGUAGUUGAAUUUCGGGAUCAAAUUGUCGGUCGUGCCUCGGUACGCACUGGUAUUAUUGGUUCCUACCUUCUGAAGAACCGCGAUGUCAUUAAUUUGGUGUCGUGGGGAAUCAGGACUGUUACUUUGAAAAAAUUAGAGUGUUUAAAGCAGGCUUACGCUUGAAUACAUUAGCAUGGAAUAAUGAAAUAGGACGUUUGAUCCUAUUUUGUUGGUUUCUAGGAUUGACGUAAUGAUUAAUAGGGAUAGUUGGGGGCAUUAGUAUUCAAUUGUCAGAGGUGAAAUUCUUGGAUUUAUUGAAGACUAACUACUGCGAAAGCAUUUGCCAAGGAUGUUUUCAUUAAUCAAGAACGAAAGUUAGGGGAUCGAAGACGAUCAGAUACCGUCGUAGU